UACGUAGGGGGCAAGCGUUGUCCGGAUUUACUGGGUGUAAAGGGCGCGUAGGCGGGUUAGCAAGUCAGAGGUGAAGUACUACAGCUUAACUGUAGAACUGCCUUUGAAACUGUUAAUCUUGAGUGCGGAAGAGAGAGACGGAAUUCCAGGUGUAGCGGUGAAAUGCGUAGAUAUCUGGAAGAACACCAGUAGCGAAGGCGGUCUCUUGGUCCGUUACUGACGCUCAGGCGCGAAAGCGUGGGGAGCAAACAGG
rnacentral:rRNA from 1 species